AGAUGUGAGGGCAGUCUGGCUGCUACAUCUGUCACCCCGUUGGUUGCUAAGGUGGAUCCGGCACGUCUAUCUGGGUUUCCCUUCCCUCCUCAGCCAGCCACAUGCUUCUCUCCCGAAGCUGCACACUCCAUUGAAGAGGCUGAACAUCCCUGUAGAGAAGAACCAAAAAUUCAGUACCAUUAUAUACAUUUUUAUGUGUAAUAUUAUUAUAUUCUUUUCUUUUUUCUUUACUGUUGUCGCCAUUUUUAUUUUAUGGAAAAACAAAACAAAAUUUUAUAACCAAAUAGUAACAGAGCAGCUAUAGUUAUUUAUU
rnacentral:snRNA from 1 species